UACGAAGGGGGCUAGCGUUGUUCGGAGUUACUGGGCGUAAAGGGCGCGUAGGCGGCCCUCCAAGUCGGAUGUGAAAGCCCCGGGCUCAACCCGGGAAGUGCACUCGAUACUGUCGAGCUAGAGUAUCGGAGAGGUUGGUGGAAUUCUCGGUGUAGAGGUGAAAUUCGUAGAUAUCGAGAGGAACACCGGUGGCGAAGGCGGCCAACUGGACGAAUACUGACGCUGAGACUCGAAAGCGUGGGGAGCAAACAGG
rnacentral:rRNA from 1 species